AUGAGAAGUGCAAAAUUGAUCCAAAAGACUAGUGCAUUUUCUAAGCAGUCUCAAGUUAUUGCCUGGUUUGUGAGAAAUUUCUCCUUGAAAAUUGAUCAAGGAUUCCAAGAAGAUAAACUGUUGGACAAGACCAUUUCCAAGACCAAUAACUGUCUACACAGUGCUCCAAAUGACACAAAGUCAAGAGCUUUACGAAGUGCACAGGGAGAUCUUUUCGAUGAUAGUAAGAAUGCACAAAACAGAACUUGGCAAGACCUCCAAUCAGGGCACCAGAUUUGGUAACUUGAAACUGUCAAAUCUGGACCAAGCAAAACCCAUAAGCUGCUGAAAAUUGGACCCAUAAACCUUUGUAGGGACUAACCCCCCCCCAAGGAAGGUGCAAUGGGGACUUAGUCCCCACAAAAUAGUUAGGCUAGAUCCUAAAUUUAAGCAGCCUCUUAGCUGCAUGCAAACAAGGUUUUGGAUGCUGGAAUAGUAGAAGCAAUGGCAAAGCCAGAAAUAUUUUCCAGGGAGGGCCAUGGUAAACAUAAUAAAAUUCUUAUGUAUAAAAAAUGACUUAAAAAAAUCUUUAUUUCACAUUAACUUUAACUUAAAAUAGUUGUGCCCAAUUCUUUAGCAAUCUCUUUUUCUAUAUAUAUAGUUAAAUAGUUGCUCAAAAACUCAUUGUCCAUCUUGUUACGAAACUUUAUCAUGACAAGUUUCAUGGCUGAGAAUGCACGUUCUGUAGUUUUUGUUGAAACAGGAAGAGUAAGCACAAAUUUGAUCAAUAAUCUAUCAACAAGUGGAUAGAUUUUUGAUUUUCCAACUCUCGCCAACCCUUGGCAUAAUUCAAAAAGUGUCAAUAGAUUCUUUAAAUCUGGAUGUUGAGGAACGUCAAGCUCAAAAAGUUGAAGUUGAGUUUUUAAAUUCCCUUUUUCUUGCUCCGUGAAAUCUUCAGGAUAAAAUGUAUUAGCAAGCUUGCAAAUAUCAUCAAUAUCAAACAUCUUAUAUCCAUUAAUAGGAUUCAGGGUGAGUUUGGUUCAGCUUUUUAUAAAAGUGCAUAAUGAAAAAGUGGAGUUUUUAAAAAGUCCAUAAUGAAAAAGCUGAGUUUCAAAAAGCUGAGUGUUUGGUAAAGCUGUUAAAAAGUGUUUUUUGAAAAAGCUGAGUGUUUGGCUAGCACUUAUAAAAGUGGCUGUUUGAAGGGUAAAUUACCAAAAAGGACAAUGUGUUAUAAGGGAGUUUAUUUCAUACCUUUUUUUUUUUUUUUUAAUGUGAGUUUAUUUCAUACUUAAUUAAAAAUCAACUACGUCAUAUACUUACUAAAUAAUAAUAAUAAUAAUAAUAAAUAUAUUAUUGGUAUUAUUCUAAUAAUGUUUGGGCAAUUUUUCUUUUUUAGUGUCAUAAUUAUUUGUUAUUACCAUUAACGACUUCUUAUUAAUAUUAAUUAAAUCUAAAUAAUUUUCAUCAUCAUGAAGCACAAAAUAGUAUUAUUUUAAUAAUGUUUGGGCAAUUUUUCUUUUUUAGUGUCAUAAUUAUUUGUUAUUACCAUUAAUGACUACUUAUUAAUAUUAAUUAAAUCUAAAUAAUUUUCAUCACCAUGAAGCACAAAAUGAAAAUGUAAAAAGAUGAUAAAAUAUACACCAAUAAUCCAAGUUUAAAUUGUACUAUAUAAAAACGUAAAAAGAUAUAAAAUACAUAUCAAUAACCCAAGUUUAAAUUGUUCAACACAAAAAUGUAAAAAAGAUGAUAAAAUACAUACCAAUAACCCAAGUUUAAAUUGUAUUACAUGAUAUUAUAAAAAAAAAAAAGAAAAAAAGAAAAAAAAGACAACUACUAAUUAUUAUUCCCCCAAAUAGAAUUAGCAAUGGAAUCACGAAGAACCACCAUCGCAGGGUCUGUUAAAGAUCCCGAGUUCUGCCCAGAACUGCUACCUGCUUUACUGUUAUGUUCUCUUCUAGAAAUUGAGUCUUGAUUGGCGUUUCUAAAGCCCCUAUCAUCCUUAUCAUUUCGUCUAACAAAAUUAUGAAGAGCCAUAGUAGCAGAUACAAUAAGUAUUUGGAUAUGGAAUGGAAAGAUGGCAUGUUUCUAAUAAUUCUCCAUUUAUUCUUCCACACACCAAAAGUGCGCUCAAUCACACAACGAAGAGAUGAGUGAGCAUGAUUAAAUUUUUCAUGUCUAGUUCUAGGGCUUCCACCUUUCCUUCGAAAGUCUUGAAGAUGGUAUGAUAUCCCCUUGUAUGGUGCCAAAUAGCCUUUCAUCAUUGGGUAUCCAGAAUCAACUACAUAAUAUUUCUCUAGAAAAAAAAAUUCAAUUGUAUUAACACACUCACACAAUGUGUUAUUAUAAUGAACAAUUGAUUAACCAAUUAGAAACCUGGUGGUGGGUGCGGAAAGUUGUUACUUUGUUUACGAAUAGUAUCAAGAAAAAUGUGAGUGUCGUGUGCUGCACCUCAUCCAGGUCUUAUAAUGGUUUUAUAAAUGGUUUUUGAUGAGUUCUCCCUAAGCAUAAGAUAAGAGACUAUAAAACUUUUAAACUAGAAGCCUUAAAUUAACAAAUAAUGAUCACUAGCUAGGGUGGACUUCAACUAGAUUAACCGGAAAUAAGUAUAUAUGUUUAAAUUUUUUCAAGAAAAUUGUGCAAGAAAAAUGCAAGAAAACGAAAAAAAAAAAAAAAAAAACCAUCUAGCAAUGAAAAGAAAUGUGAUAUCGAAAUCAAUUUUCCAUUAUAUUUUAAAUUGCUAAUAAGUGCAAGUGCAAGUGCAAGUGACAUGAAGUAGUAGAGUGAAUGAUAGAAGAUUUCAAAUUUUUAGAGUUAGGGAUACCCCAUAUGUAUAUAUUAUCAUAGGUAUAACAAUUGUAGAUACCGUGACUACUAUAAAUCCCUAUCCAAAGUAAUAAUUGUAGAAUGGAUAUAGAAAUAUAUCAUUGAAGUCAAUCUCAUGUCCACAAAAUAUCUGAAACUUGAUCCUUACGGUUACUUUCAAUGCAUAGUCCCAUGAAGAGUGAAAAGGAUAAGAAGAUAUCAAACUGAAAUUCAUAACCGCAUAUAUGUAAAUCCAACUCAAAUCCAUCAACAAUAAAUGGCAUUACACCCUUUGCAUCAAACUAUGUUUUGCUAACAGCUAAGUUGUGCAUUUGUCAAGACAAGACAUUUAUGUUUUUGUGGUUAAUUCAAAGGAAAUAGAAGAAAAAUUAACAAUGAUCCAGUGGUGUAAAAUUAGGAUAUCUCCUCAAGAGUCAAAAAGUAAAGGAACCUUCAGCUUUUAUAGAAAUCCAUUUAUAUACAUGGCCAAAGGAGAACACGGGAAACCAAAUUGGUGUAUGCAAACCUCAAUUCUUAAACUAAGCAAUAAAUUCUUACACCAAAACAUUCAAAACCCAGAAAAUCACAUAACUAAUAAUCAACAAAAACCAACCCAAAAAACUCAAGCUACCACUCAGUACUAGAAAACAUAAAAAUAAAUAUAGCCCCAUAACAUAACUAAAACUUGAAAAUUCAUAUCAAGCAAAAGGCUUUCAACCACAACCUUAAAAACCCAAAUAAUUAAAUAACUAAUAAUCAACAUUAAAACACAAAAACUUGUAUGGGGUGGUGCAGGGUGUGCGUGCUCUAUUGAUGUGGGGUGCGUCUGCUGCUGAUGGGGCAUGCGUGAGCAGCUGCAGUACCUCACCAUGUAGCAACCAAACAAGCCCAAUAUUCCAGAGUGUCACAUACUCAACGAACCACGACAACCAGCAUGAAAAAUAUUUAUAUUUCUUCUGAAAAUUCUUCUUUCUUUCUCAUUCUUUAUAUUUCUAAAAUACCCAAAUCAGAUGUCGCAUUUAAGAUAGAGCAUUCACAAAAUAAAAAAUAAAAAAUUAUGAAGCAUGUACCCACAAAUUUUUUUCAGUACCCGGCAAGAGAACAAAUAGAUCUUUAGCAAGAACAAAGCAUGCAAGAUCUGAAAAUUUUUUUGAUAGGUAAAAAAAAAAAUUUCAGAUCAGCGUUGGUACCUGGUGGAUUUUGGUAGCAGAUCGGUGUUUCUUGGUGUUUUGUUGAUCAAAACUCUACCUUCAAAAUGUAUUUCUCAGAUCAGAUUGGACAAAUAAAAUUAAUGUUGAAAAAAAUACAGAGGAAUGCCCGUUGAAAGAAGACGAGAAGGAAGAAGAGGAAGAAGAUUUUCAGCAAAUGACAAAAGAAAACAAAGACUUACGCGCAAGGAGAGGCUUGUAGAAGCACGGUGAGGGCAGAGCUGAGAGGCGUGAGGGAGCUGGCUUUGCGCAGAGUAGAGAGAUGAGAUGAGAUAAGAGGAAUGAGGAACUGUGCGUGAUCUGAAGACAUGAGCAUCCUUUAUUUGAGGGCAAUUUGGUAAUUGCCCAACUCACCCCAACGGAUACAUCAAAACGCGCACUAAUGUUUUGCAAAAUGGACCUGAAGAUAGCUUUUAAGGAUUGCAUGUUUUCUUCACAGUUAUAAAACGCAACUUUUUAAUAAAAGUUGCGUUUUUUUACCAGCCAAAUGGACUUUUGGGCCAGCUUUUUUCAAAACGUGACUUUUGGGCUCAAAAUAUUGAAACAAACGGGCACAUAGUAGAUGAGGGCAUACAUGAUCCAUUCCCGGAUGGAUGGCUGAUGCUUAGGUAGCUAAUAUGUAUAUGUUUGAACGAGAGGUUAACUCAACGAUUUUUCAUUUAUCUUUGCCUAAGUCCGAAUAACAAACUGUCAUGGAUAUGGUAGCUUGAAUUUUAGGACAAGAUGGCCCAAGUUCCUUCAAUGGAUGAGGAAUUUCACUCUACUGCUAUGAUAUUGCAGUAUCAUUCAAACCAUUUAUAAAUAGUAAAUUAUUUAUUUUAUUUAUUUUUUAUGACCAAUAAAUAAGUAUUAGUAGGAUGUUAGGUAGUUUGCUUGAAAAUUGAAGACUCAUCUGGAAAUAUGUAGUCAAAGCCAGAAUCUUCUCUGAUUAAAUCCAUACUAUAUUUGGAAUGAGUGUUUCCUCAACUCAGAAGGCAGUUUUACUUUAUGUAGGAAUUAGGUCAAUGCAUUAUUUGGUUUACAUUUUAAAUAUCCAAACAUUCUUUGUAUCCAAACUCCAAUGUUGGUCUCUGACAUCUAGGGACUCUUCCUGGUUGCGUGUGUUACUCAUGCUGAUUUUGUUAAGCUAAUGAUUAUUAUGUAAGUGUUUAGGGUAGGGCAUGUAUUUCCUAAGAAACUGGGGGUCUCAGACCAAUCAAUUCAAUUUUAGAUCAAGAUUUGUAUCUUGGCUCAUUUGAGUUAAGUUCUGCUUAUUGUACUAUUUUUUAAUUGUUUGUUAGUUAUAAUAUAUUUUGGUGAAUCUUGAAUGCUGUGCAUGGUGUGCAUGCAGACAAGUAAAUCAGAGGUGAAGUCCAGGGAACAUACAGCAAAGCACGCCCCCAAAUCUGAUGGUACUGCUUGCCUUCCCCAUCUCAAAAAUUGAAUAAAUUGAUCAGAGAGAACAUCCUAGAGACAUCUCAAGAAAAUUAUCAUCUCAUAUUAAAGCUUUCUACUUUAAUUCCAAUGAGUCCUAACAAUCAUGGUUGCUUUCUGUGUAUUGUAUAAUUUGUAUGCUUGAGAGGGUGAGAGUGGUUGAUACUUGUUUCCUUUUGUUAAAGCAAAACACAAUGUUUUAUUAUAUUAUGAAGUAUCAAUGCCAUUGGUCAUGAAAGCUUGUUUAGUUAUAAUGCCCUCGAUUAUGAAUAUAAAUGCCCUUGCUUAUGUUGAAAGAGUUGUCUUACUUGGCCCAUUGAUCAAGUGCUUGCACUGGAUCCAGAUAUUUUCCAAUUGUGA
rnacentral:sRNA from 1 species